CCAAAUCCAAGUCCAAGCAUGAUCUCGAUCAUCUUAGAGUUCUACCAAUAUAAGAAACUAUAAGCAAAUCUUUGGCACUAAAGAAUAACACGUUUCCUGAAAUCCAACUUAAGUAAUAGAGCAGAAAUCAUGGCCAAUAAUCUUGAGAGCUGAGACUUAUUUUAGUUUCCAACCUUCAUCUAUAAACUUUUCUAACAGCGUAUACAGUAUGUAGAAACAUGUGACAGCAAGAUGACAAUGACAUUUAAAGAACUAUCAGCACCUUAAGUGUUGAAACUGGCCUCAUUGAAAAUGCAAUUCAAGAAGUACUUUUUA
rnacentral:lncRNA from 1 species